GGAAGUAAAAGUCGUAACGAGGUCUCCGUUGGUGAACCAGCGGAGGGAUCAUUACAGGACUCGCAAGACUCCUACAACCCUGUGAACUUAACUAUAAGCACGUUGCUUCGGCGGGUGUCUCGGAGGGGGUUCUCCCUCCCCGAGACGCUAAACCCGCCGGCAGCCUACUAUACUCUGUCUCUUUGCGUUGGCAUCUCGAGUACAAUCAAACAAGUUAAAACUUUCAACAACGGAUCUCUUGGUUCUG
rnacentral:misc_RNA from 1 species